AAGAGAACAUCUGGUAUUUUCAUCUAGAUGCCUGACAUUGUGUACUUAAUAUGAUCCAAUUGGCUGUGAACUCUAGGUCCCUUUUAUUCAGUGGCUAAUUGAUAGAUGCAUGAUGUACAAAUCAUCAGAAGAUUUCCUGCAAUCAAGACUUUGAAGCUUCAUAAUUGCCCACAUGGCCCAAAACUUCACAGGAAUCACUGGAAGGUCAGCAGAAGAGGAGAACAGACCUUGAGCUGUGACCAAGUGCACUGUUACCAAUUUCCUGCCAUGACAUUGCACAAUGGAGUUUUAUUAUGUACAGUCUUCAAUUGUAUCAUCUUGGAGUUUUAAAUGUUUUAGAAUUUUCAAUCUAGUCAAGAUUCCUCUGGAUUACAGUGAAUAUGAUCAUUCAUGGGUACCUACUGAUUGAGUACUGUCUUUGU
rnacentral:lncRNA from 1 species